rnacentral:miRNA from 1 species
CGUAGUGGACGUGUGUUCGAAUU